ACAACAACAGCCGCACCGACAACAGCCGCGGCGUCAACAACAGCCGCCCCGACAACAACGGCCGCACCGACAACAAUCGCACCAUCAACAACGGCCGCACUGACGACAACAGCCUCCCCAACAACAACGGCUGCACCAACAACAACAGCUGUGCCGACAACAACAGCUGCACCCACAACAUCUCCAGUUCCGACAACAACAGUCGCACCCACAACAGCCGCCCCAAUAACAAUUGCACCCACAACAACAGCCGCCCAAACAACAACCGCACCGACAACAACGGAAGCAGUCGUAGCAAGGCUAUUGACAUUCAGAUCUCAAGAAGAGACAUUUACAAGUGAUUUGCACGUUCCAUCAUCCGCAGCGUUUCAAAGUCGAGCCGUAUUGAUAGAGUCAACACUCAGACCUUUACUCAAAGAAGCUUUUCCUUCGUUCCGCAACAUCCGUGUGAUUUCAUUCAGUAAUGGAUCAAUCAUCCAAAACUCACUCAUUUAUUUUCCAUUAACAUCUGCUCCUAAUGGCACUGAGAUUCGAAAAGUUUUGGUUGCAGCAGCUUGUAUCAUCAGAACCUUCAACAUUGACAACAACUCCAUUUAUUUUGAUGGCACACAGGUUUCAAGUGGAGUAAGCCACAACAUCAGUCUCAUCACUGCAUCCUUCCUUGUGCUGAUGUCAUGGAUCCUGUCAAGCCAGCAAUAGCAUCAUUGCUGAUUACUGUUUGAAUUUGCAUUAUUGCAUGACUGCCAUCACUAGCAUGAAAAAUGACUUCUUGAUUCUUGUCAAAGAAGUCUUGUACAGCGUCAGAUAUACUUACUAUCACAUUUCAUUUUGCAAUUACUGCACAUAUUUAAGACAGUGGAUUAGGUUUAUGUCAAUCUUAACACGUUUCUAGGUUUCACUUUAUUCCAUAUCAUUACAUUACAUUGCAUAGAAAUAUCAGAGAGCAUAUUGUAAAGGGAACAUGUGUCUAAAGUUAAUUAAAGGAACAACACUGCAGGUCAUCAUGAGUCGUGGAACCAACCGUGAA